rnacentral:misc_RNA from 1 species
AAAAAGCACACAGAACAUACCUUCUGCAAUGAAGUCUUGCAACAAGAACCAAAUUUUUUAAAUCAAAAAACGAUUUUGGAUAAAAGACAUUAUCACAGAGCAAGAAAAGCCAACAGUGAAUGAUCUCUAUUUUCUAAGUGAUAGAAGAUCAAUCUUUUCACAAAUAAAGUCCUUCUGGUACUCCUUCCUUCUUCUUGAACAUCACCUUCUCUUUU